rnacentral:rRNA from 1 species
UACGUAGGCAGCAAGCGUUGUUCGGAAUUACUGGGCGUAAAGAGUGUGUAGGCGGUGCUCUAAGUUUGUCGUGAAAUCUCCCGGCUUAACUGGGAGGGUGCGGCGAAAACUGGAGUGCUAGAGGGUGGGAGAGGAAAGCGGAAUUCCUGGUGUAGCGGUGAAAUGCGUAGAUAUCAGGAGGAACACCGGUGGCGAAGGCGGGACUCGUGGGCCGAUACUGACGCUGAGGAGCGAAAGCGUGGGGAGCAACAGG